GUGCUCGCUUCAGCAGCACAUAUACUAAAAUUGGAACGAUACAGAGAAGAUUAGCAUGGCCCCUGCGCAAGAAAAUGGAUGAUCUCUGCUGCUUUCCAAAUCCUA